rnacentral:rRNA from 1 species
AUACAACGAAGAGUUUGAUCCUGGCUCAGGAUGAACGCUAGCGACAGGCCUAACACAUGCAAGUCGAGGGGCAGCACGUAAAGUAGCAAUACUUUUGGUGGCGACCGGCGCACGGGUGAGUAACACGUAUGCAACCUGCCUGUAAGCGGGGAAUAACCCGGAGAAAUCCGGACUAAUACCGCAUAAUACCAAUUUUCUGCAUGGAAGAGUGGUUAAACAUUUAUGGCUUACAGAUGGGCAUGCGUAUGAUUAGAUAGUUGGUGAGGUAACGGCUCACCAAGUCAACGAUCAUUAGGGGUUCUGAGAGGAAGGUCCCCCACACUGGUACUGAGACACGGACCAGACUCCUACGGGAGGCAGCAGUGAGGAAUAUUGGUCAAUGGGCGAGAGCCUGAACCAGCCAAGUCGCGUGAAGGAAGAAGGUUCUAUGGAUUGUAAACUUCUUUUGCAUGGGAAUAAAGUGAGCUACGUGUAGUUUAUUGUAUGUACCAUGCGAAUAAGGAUCGGCUAACUCCGUGCCAGCAGCCGCGGUAAUACGGAGGAUCCAAGCGUUAUCC